rnacentral:rRNA from 1 species
UACGGAGGGUGCAAGCAUUAAUCGGAUUUAUUGGGCGUAAAGGGCGCGUAGGCGGGAAUGUAAGUCAGACGUGAAAUCCCGGGGCUCAACCCCGGAACUGCAUUUGAAACUACAUUUCUUGAGGGUAGAAGGAGAAAACGGAAUUCCACAUGUAGCGGUGAAAUGCGUAGAUAUGUGGAAGAACACCUGUGGCGAAGGCGGUUUUCUAUUUUAUUCCUGACGCUAAAGCGCGAAAGCAAGGGGAUCAAACAGG